rnacentral:snoRNA from 1 species
CUGCACUGCUUAAUGACCAGCUGGUCUUUUGCUGACCUCCUUGGUCUCAUUCCAGUGCAAGAUAAAUUCCUUCUAGCAGAAGGGCCAGGCUGUCAAAUUGUGGUCUGUCCCUUUCGAAAGCUGGGCACAAAC